GUUGAAUACAGAUGAGAGUUUGAGUCCAUUGGAAUUGUCCCUAAACAUUUGGGUUUUGGUAACACUGAUAAGUGGAAUUUCAUUGAAGUGUAGCCAAAUGGCAGUAGAUUAAAAUGUGAAUAAGAGAAAAAAGUGGAGUGAAAAGUGUAUGAAUACACAUCUUUUGAGAAGUUUGACUAUAAAGAAUAGCAGAUAAAUAGAAUGUGACAGCUUAAAAAAGUUCUCUCUUCCUCUUUCCAAAAGAUAUUUGAAAGACUAAAUUUUAGGAACCAAGUCUAGAGGAGCUGACACUAUCUGGGACAUGCAAUUCUCAAGUGGAUGGAUGGAAUAUGAGUGUUUGAAUGUGAAUAUUGCAGCAAUCAAGCUUUUGCUAUGCAGAGAAGGAAUAUGAAAAGGAAUUAAAGAUCAGAUGCUGAGAAUAUUGAAGACAUGAGCAAUUUCCUAAUUUUCCUUUUGUGUCUAACCUAUUUCACUUGGCACCAGCAACUGAUUGUUAAAAUGAUAAAGUCUCAGCACCAAGAAUGUUGGUAAUAAUCCCCAUUUCGUCACUCAUUUGUGUUCAUCAUAUUUUUUCCCAUCAUGUGAGCAUAAUUUCCUCUGAUAGGUGUGUUCGUGAAUUCAUUUCAUGUACCUCUUUUGUGUCAACAAGCAUAAU
rnacentral:lncRNA from 1 species